CGCGGCCUCCUCAUCCCCGGCCUCGCGUGACGGGGGUCGCCGCCCAUGGCGGCCCCUCCCCGGGGCUGCUCGGGCGGCCGCGCCGGAGGCCUCGGGCCCACGCGUGGGGCCCGGCGCUGCCACCCGCGCAGCUCCGCGUGGUCGGCAGCUGCCUGGGUGUCGCUUAAAGGCAGUAAACAACUGCAGGGGUUGGAUUUCACGGCUUUUGCAAAGUCAGUGAUAUUCAGGCCACCGGUGAUGGGAGCCGUGUUUAUCCCGGGCACACAAGUGCUCUUAAAAGGGAGUAAGAUCUCAAGUGGCAGCUGGAAUUUUUAGGUGUUCAGGCUUAGAAGCCCUCAGCUGCAGAGAAAGGAAAGUGUCUCUGUGAGGAGCAAGGGGUGCUGAUGAUCGCAGGAGAGCUGAGGCAGAGGGACAGGAACAGAUGCAGAAUUUCUCUGCCAAGAUUUUUUUCCAGUGGGAUCCACGGUGGAUAUUUUUAAAUGCCCGGCUUAUUCCGUGACCUGUUAAAAUCAAGUUGAUGUGCGUGUGCUCCACUCAGCGGAGAACUCGCCGGAGAUGGAGCAAUUCCUCUGCACUCUGGAAGAAGAGACAAGAGCACGCUCUGGAAGCCUUUAUGAGGAGGCUUUAGAAGCCAUUUUGAAAAGCCAGUCGUUAUCCUUCAGUGUUCUGGAAGUCUGGACCGGACCUCCCAGGUGAUAUUAGGUAAGUGUUAGUGAAGCGUGGGUUGGUUCUUACAAAGAGGUUUGCUGUAUGUCAGGGCACUUGGAGUUACUCCUCAGGCAUAAUUUCUAAGAUCUCCACUCACAGAAUCACAGGAUCAUUGAGGCUGGAAAAGACCUCCAUGGAUCCCCCCUGUGCUCC